AUAAUAUAGUCAACUUAGGGAGCUACCAUUUGAUUUUUAUGGGGGGGCUAGGAUGAAAUUUGAAAAAAAUAGGCAGGACAGGAGUUUUGAGUAAAAAAAAAGGCAGGAUGAGACACUUUGCAAAAAAAAAGGCAGGAUGACAAUUUAGGUAAAAAAAGUCAGGAUAAACUAAUAAAAAAAAGGCAGGACCGAAUAGAGUGAAAAAUAAAAAGGCAAGAAGGAGAUUACAACUAAAAAAAAAUGCAGGACAAAAUUUUUCAUC
rnacentral:lncRNA from 1 species